GGAGCAGUUGGAAGCAAGCUUGUAAGAUCAACUCCCAUUCCGUAUUGCAUAAGAGCAGCAGUAUAUUGCUCAUCUCGAACUCCUGGCAUUGGAUUGUACAUGUUCAUGUAGUUGUUCAUGUAUG
rnacentral:sRNA from 1 species